GUCAAUUAAUGUAGAGGAUUGGUGGGGAAUGAUACUGUUACGCUGGUGAGAUAAUGCAACGCGCGAUGAGUUAUUAGAAAAAGAUCCGACUCUAAACUAGAAAGUGUAAAAGUGCAGUUAAAUGAGACAAUUAACAGAAAAUUAUGGAUUAUUAACGCAGAUAAGUCAAUUAGUAGGAAAUUAAAAGUAAAGGAAACUGCAUGGAAAUAUGUACGUACUGAUAUAAUAAUCCUGGAAGGAUGCUGAUAGAGUUUAUUAGAUGGUUCGAAGAUACUACAAUUUUUAUUUCUACUGAUAAUUCAUCACGACUCUGUUAAAUGUAUAGCCAGUGUUAAUUUUACACGACUAAUGAAGAAGUCUAAAUUAUUGUUUAUCUUAAUACAUACGUUUAUUCAAAUAUCAUAUGCGUUGUAUCAACGUUAAUAAAAUUAUAUCCUCGCUUCAAAUCUACAUAUAACAAUAUUUAUAUCGCGAUGCUUCUCUUAAGCAAUCGAAUUGUACUACACAAAGUCCCCAUUAAUGCGAGAAGACACGAGAAGAGAAUAUCUGCAGGUAAAAUGACUAAUUUUCAAUGAGGCCCUAGCUUAACAAGUCAUGAUGCAACGACAAACGUGUACGUAACUAUGAAGCAAUAGGUAGAAAGAUAAGACGAGUUCUUCAACUUAUUUCAAACAUUAUUCAAACCGGCGAGUCUCGUGUAAUCUGCAUAAACCGUACUAUCAGUCAGUUCUUCAGCUUUCGCCAUCUUCUUCGCAUCUUCUUCGUCGAUCUACAUUGCGAAAUGGAACCGCAUAUCGUCCAGCAGGAUUGUUACAGACAAAAUGAUGUCAAUUUUCCUAAUCGUCUGUCCGAUUUUAAUAUACGACGUAUUGAUAAAUCCAAGUUUUGAAAAAAAGAAAGAUAUGAAAAAGGUACUUUCUAAGAGUCUAUGUUUCUCAAUAAGUUAUGGCACAGUGACUGGAUAAAAGAAGAAUGCAGACUCGGGUCUUGGCCGAUCAGAAUUUAAUCGAUCUGGCCUUUCGUCUCCUAACCGCUUUUUAUAAUAUUUUUAAGUUUUUGUAUCCUACCCCGGCUGAUCUAUAUGUACAUUGCGCGUCAGAUUGAACUACUUUCUUAUUGCUAAAUCUUUUUCAGAGAGAAAUUUUUUCCCUGCACACUCCUGACUUUUAUAAAUUACGGUAAAAUGACUAGACUGAAAUGAAAAUGAAUAUGGUAAUGUGCAAUAUCGAAUAUUUCCAGACUUCAACGAGUCUAAAGCGCAAUAUUUCACUAAUUAUGUUUUUAUCUACUAAACUAUUUUGCAACUGUCUAUGAGAAACUGAAGAGAUAUUGGUGUUGCAUUUGGCGAAUCUGUUACAUCUACAUCUGUUACAUUUACGAACAUAAAUAGGAAACUGUAAUAUCGUAGUUGAAACGAAAUUUUAAUACACGAUAAAAACGACAGGGCAUACCGAUUCAUGUUCUGAUUAAAGCUUUCCUCGUUAACGCGAAACUUCGAUUAGUAUUCCACGUGAAACAAACAUGAAAUAUUGCGAAAUAUUAUUUGUGAAAAUUCUAAUGUAAAUUUUCUUAAUGGAAUCACACGUUUUAUUAUAUA